GGAGACGUCGCAUAGCCCGGUCGAGUGCGCCUCACUGCUAACGAGGUAGGGUAGAAAUACUCUCGAGAGUUCGAAUCUCUCCGUCUCC
rnacentral:tRNA from 1 species